GUGGGAGUAGCUGUCUUCCAGGCACAUAUGGAACUUAUCUUGUAGGUGAACAGACCUUUUUUUGACUUCGGGACGGGUAGACCCCGAUGAACUUGAUAGCGGUGUGCGAUUUUUCGCGGAGGUUAAUUUACUCCGCGCUUUAUUGUGCCUUCUUCGGUUGGGAAAACCGGGGGAAUGAUGAAAUUCUGCUUGUUGUUUUGUUUGGGAUAACUAUGGAGACCUUUGGGUGAGGGAAUUGGUAUAUGAGACUGUUGGAAAAAGAAAAGUUACCGCGGGGAUAACAGCACUGUCUCCUCGGAGAGAAUACAUUGCANAGGGGGGUUUGUGACCUCGAUUUUGGAUCAUUUGAUUCUGGGCGGUGAAAGAGG
rnacentral:rRNA from 1 species